AAACACUCACUUCCUGGGACUCAAAGAAAGUGCAGCUGAAUUCGAUGGCUUUUAGCUGGGGACUGGCUAGAUCAGUGGAAAUCACAACCAAGUUCUCCCACUGCCUUUCUAUCCAACAGCACUGUGGAUCACCCGCAGACAAGGAUGGAAUCACCAAAAAGUAUAAUCAUUAGGUCACUAGAUGUGCACGUUGGCAAUUUUCGAAAAUAUUGCCAGAGAGAUUGAAAUAAUUCACCACUGCCCCUCCUCCAGCUUCUCCUGGGCAUGCCACAUACACUGUGGGAAGGGGAAAGGCUGACCUAGAACACCUUCAAGUGGAUGCUACAACUCUGUCAUAAAGAGGAAGCCAUCAGGUUCUUGGAUAAUUGCUGAAUGGAACUAAGGGAAAUGAGAGGAGAGAAGCAUCUCAGAGCAUGUUUGGACUUGCUGCAUGCCUUGGACCCUGCUACACACUGAUAACUGAAUAUUGAGCCCUUGAGCUGAUAAACAAGGGUCUUUGACUCGAGAGUGUUUUGCCAUCCUGUUUGCAAGCUUUGUGUUUGUUUCCUUUCCUCCAAGAGUACAUUUUCUUACUCCUCAUAUGGCCCCAAACCACACAUUGAGAACUAUGGCCUAGAGUUUGUGAUUAAUGGAACCCUAUCUCCACUCCAACCUCCACUCAUUAACCAAUGAUCUCUACUGGUGCCUGUCACAUUUACAAAUAUGUGAGAGGCCUUAAUUUAAAUCUGGAACUAAGCUAGUGAUUUCAAUUACAAUAGUCUGACUCAUUCCGACAUUAUCAUUGGGUAAAAUAGCCUCAGUUUCCUUAUCUGUAAAAUGAAUUCAAUGUUGGCAACACUGGUCUUAAAGUAAAAUAACUUUAAGAAAAUUGCUGAAGGCUAUGGCGUAUGACUUAGUGUAUUAUUAUUUUAUAAUGGAGAGUUUUACCUACCAAAGAAAGGAGUUAUCAGCUGCCCGUUGCAUUGCUGGUAAUUUAUUAUUAAUGAUUUCUAAAAACUCUAACAUUGCAGGAAGCUUCAAGCAUCAUUACUGCAUUACAUUUUGCUUUUGUGUUAAUGGACAGCUAUUUUUCACUGUCAUUUUCAUGAGUAGAAAGAGAGCACAGAUGAACAAUUUUAACAAAUAUAGGACAAUAGAAGACAUAUUCCAGACUUCAGCAUUUAUUAAUAGAAUGAUCAAAUUCAGCCUUAUCAGAAUGGAGAACUUCCUGGUCACAGACAGUAAUCUAUAUACCUCCUUCUCACCAGUGCCCUCACCUCGUUAACCCACUCAGAGGCAAGGGUCAGGAAACACUGCACUUAGUACUUUUGUGCUUAAAAAAUUAAAGAAUCCAAAUUAUCACUUUUUGCUUUCUACAUAGUUGAGAAAAAAAAGUAAUGUUACAAUCUCAGACCAUGGAGGAACUUCUAUUCACUUCAACUGAACUUCUUUAUGGAUUAGAAUGAGGAAGCCCUUUGAUGUCACCAAAGAGGUCUUUUCCUUCUAGAAGGCUUUUAAAAAAUCAUGUUCCAGGGAGAGUUCUCUGUUUUUCAGACAAUUCUUGGAAGUAAAGACCUCCUUCUCCCCCACAAUCUGGAAUAAUCAACUGGGCUUGACAGCCCAGUUGCACAUACUACAGAAGCAAAACUAUCCUAACCCCCAAUGUUAAAAAAUGGAAGCAAUUCUUUUCUAUUGAAGUCACAAGUCCCCAUUCUACAUCUUCAGCUUGUAUUCUCUCCCGAUUCCUAAUAUACCAUUCAUAGUAAAAAUGCAUGUGCCUAAGGAUGGUUCUGUCUGAAGAUGCUAUCAGUCAGCAGAAACAAAGACAUUGGGGGUCUCGUUUUAUCUUCUUGUUGCAGGUAGUUAGACAUAGACAUGAGGGAGGCAAGACAGGGCUUUUCUCUGCCACCCACUAGGAAUGUCAGGUGAUGGUUCAACAAUUAUCAUACUGCCUCUCUAAAAAAUGUGGCCAGAGCCGGGGAGAGACAGUCUCCAGCUGAUCCACAGCUGUUAACAUUAAAGUGUUCAUUGAAUGCCGAUGUCAGGGAGAAGCAACUUCCUGGGCAUACGCAUUAAGAGACAAAAUGGUAGAAUAUGACCUUCUGGGGGCACUCCACUAGAAAAGGGAAGAAAGCCUCAGAUGGCCAUGCAUACAACUUCCUAAACACCCUGUGUGUGCUCACUUCCCAAGGGUAAGGAGGGUACUACACAUGUGGGCAGCUCACCUCAAGAGAAAAAUCACGGGAAAGGGAUGCAAGAUGGCAGCCUAUAAAGUCCUAGGAUCAUGGUUAAACACCACACUUGUUGUUCACCCACAAUCUGGAAUAAUCUAAGUCUUGUUCUUCACAUCACCCACUUCACGUUCUUCCAAGUGUUCUUUCCUUUUCUAAAGCCUUGUUUUUUGUUUGUUUGUUUGUUUGUUUGUUUGUUGCUUUUUUGUGGGUUUUUUUUUUUUUGACAAGAGUUUCACUCUUUUGCCCAGGCUGGAGUCCAGUGACUCAAUCUCAGCUCACUGCAACCUCCGCCUCCCAGGUUCAAGCAAUUCUCCUGCCUCAGCCUCCCGAGUAGCUGGGAUUACAGAGGCCUGCCACACUCCUGGC
ensembl:lncRNA LINC00390 long intergenic non-protein coding RNA 390